rnacentral:rRNA from 1 species
UAGGGAAUCUUCCACAAUGGGCGCAAGCCUGAUGGAGCAACACCGCGUGAGUGAAGAAGGGUUUCGGCUCGUAAAGCUCUGUUGUUAAAGAAGAACACGUAUGAGAGUAACUGUUCAUACGUUGACGGUAUUUAACCAGAAAGUCACGGCUAACUACGUGCCAGCAGCCGCGGUAAUACGUAGGUGGCAAGCGUUAUCCGGAUUUAUUGGGCGUAAAGAGAGUGCAGGCGGUUUUCUAAGUCUGAUGUGAAAGCCUUCGGCUUAACCGGAGAAGUGCAUCGGAAACUGGAUAACGUGAGUGCAGAAGAGGGUAGUGGAACUCCAUGUGUAGCGGUGGAAUGCGUAGAUAUAUGGAAGAACACCAGUGGCGAAGGCGGCUACCUGGUCUGCAACUGACGCUGAGACUCGAAAGCAUGGGUAGCGAACA